CGACUGUAAAGAAAUUCAAAAAAAAAAAGUUCUAAAUUUUAUAUUGGUAAUAAUAAAAUUUGAUUUUGAUUCAGUUUACACUGGAAUGACUGGAUGAAUAAGAAAGAUGGCCAAGGUGUAGAUAAUGUGAAUUGUGAGAUAUGACCUGUAAUAUCAUCUGCUUUAUUUCUCGAAACUGGCAGUUUAAACAGUGGCAUCUAAUUCUUAAUCCUAUUUUAUAAUUUAAUUGAGCCUUCUUACUUUUUUGUCAUUAGCUUCAUCAAUGUGUUGUGAUUCUUUGCCUAUAGAACUUUAUCAAAGAGAGAAUCUCUCUGAGUUUAAUCAAGGACAUGAGUGGAGAAUAUUUCUGUACCAGGUAACGCUCAAGGAUAUAAGCGAAAAUGUUGACUUUUAAAUACCUCAUUGAAACAUUAUUACACUAUUAGAGACCGAAUUGUAGAUAAAAAAGUAUAAAACAGAGAUAUCGUAUACUACUAGAACCCUAAAUUGAAAAAUUUUGAAAUUGUACAUACCAAGAAAUUAUGGUAGAGGAAAGCUCUAGGCUCCCAAGAUAAAAUCUCCGUCCACUUUCUUUUCUCUUCCAAUUCUUCAUGUCUACACACACAAAAAAAAAAAAAUCAAACCUUUUACCUCUCAAAAAUCCACCAUGUCAAAUUCAGCAAAUCUCUCCCUUUUCUCAUACGCACUUUUGAGUGGGAAGCUUGAUCUCGAUGUGUUGUAUAUCACCAGGAGAAUCAGAUGAUAUAGGAAUGGAGAAGAUUCCCAAAGAGAGAAGAAUGAGAAGAGACAUCGACAACAUUAACAAAAUCCCGAGUACUACUGUCCAUGGCGACGAAGAUCUUCUUCGAAGGAUUCCUCGCACAUUCCGUCCCUUGUGCAAAGGUAAUGAACCUUCCAUUUCCCCUCCUCCUCCUUCGCCGAUCUUGCCUCUCCGGCUGUCAGAGAUUGAGUCUUUUAGUCUUAUUAACCCUUCUGUCGUUCCGCCGGCAAAGAAAAAUUGUUAUCUUGACCUUUCCCACUUGGGAGGUUUAGUCUUUUUACUUUUUAGGGAUCUAAACAAAAAACAAGGGGCGUUUACGCAAGAAACGCGCUAAUCUACUGGUCAAUUUAUACGAUUACCCCCUAUAUUUUUUCUUCAAAAUAACCACCUGCAAAUUAAAAAACUUUUAUUCGAAUCCUUCAUGUUUUGAUUAACUUUUUUUUUCGAAUUAAAACUAUUUGGUAAUAUAUAGAUUUCAAAACAAAAAAUAAGGGAGUGAUCACAUGCGAUCUCCUUCACACCCUCCGCGUUGAUCCGGCCACGUGAUCUUACGAUCGUUUAGACCUCCAACAACCUUUGGAGACUGACUCGAUAUUUUCUAUAACGAUUUAUGCCUCAUCGGUCUUACGUAGUUGUCCUUGGACAGUGGGGAGUGUAAAAACCUUGGUGUGCUCCAAACAUCUUUUCCUCUUCCUAGGGAAAACUCUGUUAUUGCCUUUCGGUCCACUACUCGUAAGUGAUUCUUCAUGUCGCUAAUUUCUACUGUAAAAGUGAGACCAUCUCCUAGGAGGUAGGUCUCUCUAUGGAUAUGAUUUUUUGGAUCAUUCUAUUAACGCACUUAACCUUCUGUGCUUUUUUGGGGAGUCAGAAUUCUAUUUGAAUUCUAACCCACCAUUAGCUUAAAUAUUGCGGUUCUUUUAAUACAAGUUCCUAUCGAAUUUAAAUUACAGAUAUAUCGUUUUAAUAGUAGAUAGCUCAACUUGGGGCCGAUUGGGGGCUUCUAGCCUAUAUUUUCACUAGUCGUUGCUCUUGGGUCGUUCCUCUAGCCUUGUGCCUGUUCGCCAUGAAUGUGGUUGCGGUAUCCUGUAUUAUCCGUCUUCCUAUCUCUUGCGGCCAUGUUCGUUUGUCUUCGUGUACUCUCUUGUUUCUUUCAGUUCAGAUCCCCCAUACUGCCGCUGCCGUGUAUGCUCAUGUUAGACCCCAACAUGGCGUGUUCUUUGUCCUUGCGUGCGCUUCUGUCAUUACCUGUUUUAAAGAGACCCCAACAUGGCGUGUUCUUUGUCCUUGCGUGCGCUUCUGCCAUUACCUGUUUUAAAGAGACCCCAACGUCUUGAUUAACUCGUUAAAACAAUAUCGCAUGUUUUUUCCAAAUGUAGGUUAGCGAGAUGAAUGUUAAACGAGGGAUUUGAUGCAGCGGGUGGAUUGGUGAAUACACAAGACAUUGGAGAUUUUGAAGCCAUGACUUAUAAAAUUGAGAAAAUUACUCCUGGAUUAAAGUACUGAGGAUUGCAUUGGACAAUGCUUGGUUUCAUACUGUUUCACAUAUUGAAAGAGUAAAACCAACGUCACCAUGGAGGAAUCUCAACCUCGCAAGAAAUGAUUAUAAGGGAAUGCAUUAGAUCGACGGAAAUCAGUUUCAAAGAAAAAAAAUUCAAAAAACCACAUAAGAGAAACACGGAAGUGAAGGCAUUGCACCAAUGGGAUGCUCUUCAAUUGCUGAUCCACAACAGGGUAGAAGAAAAAUGUUAAGAUUGAUUAACUAUCGAGCAAACCCGUCUCAUUAGAUAGAGAGUAAAUAAAAAAUAAGUAUAACUAUAUUUAAAUCAAUUAUUUUUGUGUGCUGAACUUCUGUAAACCUUAAUUUUUUUCUCUUAAUAUAUUAAACAACUUAUUCAAAAAAAAAAGAUUAAGUCUCGCUGUGUACUGUAUUUAAAUUUUCACUACUGAUUGUACUUGGUGAUACCAAGAAUUUUAAGGCACAAGGAGCAUCCGAUAGAUCCAACUACCCAAAUAGAAGUGAAGAUAGAACAUAUAUUAGAGCAGAGGAAAUGUAGCCCACCCCUUCCACAACUUCAUAAACAAAUGGACACCAACCACAAAUGACAUAGGGGACUUAAGAAGACUUUAAUUUAUCCAUCCCCCUGAUAUCAGAGAUAGAUCUGAAUACACUCUACUCCGACGAGAUAUGAUUGAUAUCCCAGAAUUUGGCGAGAAACUCACAGGCGGACCAAGAGAUUAAAAUUUAGUUCCUAUUAUAACUUCAAUUUGAUUCUAACUUCCUUGUCAAUUAUAACAUGUAACAUGUCAAUUUAGAUACUUUAAUAAUGAUGGAUAUCUAGUAUCUACACAAGUAAUCUCAAAAAAUUAAUCACCCAAUAUACCACUAGAUGAAACAAAAUGGGUUUGAUCUAAUGUGGUUGAUCGAUCUCCGCCCACAAUGAUUAGUCUGUGGUAUCAACAGCCAUUACCUAUAAUUUGCUUUUCACUCAAUAAAAACAGCAAUGUGGCCUUUUGGGGUUCAAAUUCAUUCAUCAAAUCUUUUGAUCAUUUACUAGUAUUUACUAUAUUAAUAAUUCAAUUGCCAAACCCAUUGUUUUUCCUUAUUCAUAAUAUUAUUACUAUUAUAAUACUCUUUGGUUAACUCCACAAACCUUCAUUUCUUAGUCGCUCCAAACCUUCACAUCACUUUCUGUUUUUGAAUUAACCUAAAAGAGAAACAAUGAUUGAAAAUGAGUAAUAAAUUAAUUUUGUCUUUUGAUAUUUUGAAGAAUAAACUAAAGUAUAAUUAAAUUGUAAUCAAACAUUUAAACUUUCAUUUAUUGUUAUGGUUCCAUGUUUGAUUGUCUCUUUCAGUUUAAAAUAUCCCGUUUGCGAUAACGUGUUGAAUGUCAUUACUGAAGUUGUUUACAAAAAGAGAGUUCCAUAGGCAAACUUAAGCAUACAACCACACACCAUGUAUUAUUCUGAUUAAGAAUUAUAUAACUAUAGGAUGGAUAUCUUGUUUUUCAUUUUUAAGUCCGUAAGAUUCUAGAUGCAUCUAGAUAGUUUAUCAAAACAAUGGUUAUCUUAGAAAUCAGCAUCAAUCUUUUAUCACUGUUUUGUUGUAUAGAGUAAUAGAACAUCACAAACAUUUCUUACUUGUCUUUAGUGGUAAUCGCUAACAUGCAGCCAUUUUGUAGAAGACCAUUUAUUCCCUUUAAUAACAGGGCAUCCCCCUGCAAAGAAAAUAGAAAACGUCACUACCAAAAUACAAAAUACACACGCAUUAAUUUAAAAACAUAUUUACCUGAAAUGCUAAUGGACUUCAGGAUAAAUAGUAAGAAAGAGGGGAAACUGAUAUAAUUUUAUACUAUAAAAUUUUAUUGAAUCUGCAAGAAACUCACCAUGCAAACUUAAAGGGUCAAGUGUGGCGUCGGGCUUCAUACUCCAGAAAAGUAAGGCAUCACCCAUUUUAGGUUUUACAGCUAGACCUCUCUUUCCACACUCUGACAGCUCGUUGUAAUAAGGUAAUGAGCUGCUGUUCACUUUGGCAUUAGGGAAUAUUGUCUCACCACCUUCUUCAACAUCGGAACUGCAUUAGAUGCAAAUUAUUACAAAAAAAAGCUUCAAUUGCCUGCUUGUUUAUGAUGUGAUAUUGUGAUGUGAAUCCGUACAUACAGGUACAUUAGCACAGUUGCCAUUCUUUGACCCCCAUUCUUGGUAUUAAAUUCAUCUACAAAGUAGUCGAAGUGAGGUUCGUAUUUCUGACCAACUUCAUAGUGAAGAACUUGAAGACCCUCACCAUGUUCUGUCAAAAUGAAGAUUAUUAGUGCAGAGAUAAUGAGUGAUUUUCCAUAUCUGUAAUUAUGUUAGAAAUUAAUAGAUAUAGUAAAUAUUUGAUGAGCAAAGUUGCGUUUUUCCAUUGUUAUCAUUUGUAUUUAUAUACAUCUCAUAUUACAUUUGAUAUUGUGGAUGAGUAGUUGUUUCCAUCCUACUUUGGCUAGUAACUAAGGUUUGAUUAAUCUCUUAUCAUUAUAAUAGAUAUUUCUAAUAUUUAAUAUUCUUAUAAUAGAUAAUUAGAUAUAUUUAAUAUGUCCCUUCAAAUUCACUGAUCUUCUGAGAUAACUUUGAUUCUUUAAUUCUGAAAUGGUCUUGGCAUGAGUGCCUUGGUUAAUAUAUCAGAUCUUUAAUAGAUAUUCAAUAUAUGAAUUAUUUUCAAAAAAAAAAUCUUUAGUAGGAAUAACCUGUUGUAGUUUAUCAUUCCAUCGAUAAGAUUCAUAUGAUACCUAUAACCUUCAUUAGAUAUCUCGGGUGCAAAAUCCCACAUGUCGGCAAAGAUAACUUCCAUUGGAUAUUUAUAGACAAUAGAACACGAUGAAUGUUGACUUAGCUAUCAAACAUGGUUCACAGGACACAACCAACUCAUGAGCAGUUUAUAUGGGAUGCGAGGAGAUAUAGUAGUUGGGCAAAGAUGGCUCUCCCAAUGAUGGAAGGUGGGAUCGGGGUUAGGGAUUUUUUUUGCAACUAAUGCAACAACAGUGGUGAAAAGAGUAGAAAAAUGUGGAGCCCAAACACCUCUAUCUAGCUGAUUGGAUCAAACUUAGAUAUAUAAAAGGUAGAGGACUAGGGGAAAUUGAGAUUAGACCCACCCUAGAUGCCCAUAUGUGGAAAACUAUAAUAGCCAAAAGAGAUUUAUUAGAUAAGUGCAUCAACUGCCUGAGCAACUAUAGGAUAAUUCAAAUAGUUUAUAAUAUUCUACUUGUAAAUACAAGUUUAUAAAAGUAAGUGCCUGUGAUUUAAAUUUUAAACAUCUUCAUAAUAAAAAACUUCAAUAAAAUAACUUCAAAAACUUCAUCUAAAAAACACCUUAAGAAAAUGAAAUUUCUAUCUAAAUCAAACUUCUGGUCAGAAAAAGCAGUAAACCGGAGCUCGCCUGAUGUCGCCAGAAUUUAAGUUUGAAGGUCCGAGCAGGAAGGAUGAGGGUUGGUCGAUGGGAGAGGACUGAAUGGUGGAAGGAGGAGAAAAAAGCGAUAUUGGGAGCCCUGAUCUGUUUUAAAAACAGAUUUUAAAAAGUUUUAUCCGGCUAGAGCAUAGCCCUGCCAGGCCGCUAUAGCGACGCUAUUUGAAAGUAUGAGCUUGAUAUCUAAUCAUCUAAUAUCGUCUUUUCAGAUGUAAAUAAAUAGCAAACUUCGUUCGGAGGUUUGACAAAAAAUGAGAUUUUCGAACCAAUCAACUAAACAUAUUAUAUUAUGUUUAAAGAUAUAUAGGUCUUUAAGAUGAACUAAAAAUAUCGAGCAUUAAGCAUAUUUGUGAACCAAAUAUACAUAUAGGUAUUGAAGAUGAAGAAAUUAAACAUAUUAUAAAUAAGAUUCAAAAAGUGAGGAAAUGAUUUUUUUAAUAAUUUAUGGUACAAAUAUACGGAAGAGCCUAAAACCAUUACACAUAAAAUUGAACUUAUAUUAUCCACGAAAUAAUACUUAUGAUCUCAUGUACCUUUUGGUAUAAACGUAUAAUCAGCCAGCCUUUUCUCUAUGGCAGUGAUGACUUCAUCACUUCCCCUCUGAAGAAACAUGCCUGAGCUAGUACGGACCCUGCUUUCAAUGUGCUAAUUAUAAGGUUAAAGCAUUGGUAAGAAAUCAGGAUAUAUAAAUAGGAUCAAGGAAAACACAAACUUGCUGCCAGUGCUCUUGCCCGUCGUGCUAUCAACAACAGUCGACAUUUUCAUACGGGGCUUAGCUAAUUCAAUUAGAUGAUUGCAUUCCUCUUUCGACUGUAAAGAAAUUCAAAAAAAAAAAGUUCUAAAUUUUAUAUUGGUAAUAAUAAAAUUUGAUUUUGAUUCAGUUUACACUGGAAUGACUGGAUGAAUAAGAAAGAUGGCCAAGGUGUAGAUAAUGUGAAUUGUGAGAUAUGACCUGUAAUAUCAUCUGCUUUAUUUCUCGAAACUGGCAGUUUAAACAGUGGCAUCUAAUUCUUAAUCCUAUUUUAUAAUUUAAUUGAGCCUUCUUACUUUUUUGUCAUUAGCUUCAUCAAUGUGUUGUGAUUCUUUGCCUAUAGAACUUUAUCAAAGAGAGAAUCUCUCUGAGUUUAAUCAAGGACAUGAGUGGAGAAUAUUUCUGUACCAGGUAACGCUCAAGGAUAUAAGCGAAAAUGUUGACUUUUAAAUACCUCAUUGAAACAUUAUUACACUAUUAGAGACCGAAUUGUAGAUAAAAAAGUAUAAAACAGAGAUAUCGUAUACUACUA
rnacentral:lncRNA from 1 species